AAUAAGAAAAAAAAAACAUGAAUAUAUAAAACUUCUGCAGGUCAUUUAUCUACUGUUACAUUACAGCCAGGGAAACACUUCCUCAUAACAAAAAAAAAAAAAACUGUGAUUAAUUCUGUGAAACAUUCAUUCAUUUACUGCAGUCUAGUUUGUUGUUAUUUGGUUUACAUUUUUUUGUAUUUGCCUCAAAAUGAUCAGGGAGACAUUUGUUGCCAAAUUUAUCACAGGCAAGAAUCACAUGCUGCUUUUGAAGGUUGACACUUUUGAUUAUUUUCUUCUUACUGUCAAUCUUAAUAGUGAUGAAGGAAAAAGGCUUCUUGCUGAUGCAGAGGUUGCUCUCAAACAUCUUUCCUCCUGAUGAACACACAGCUUCCACGUUGUCUUUCUCACUGAAGGGAAAGAAUGACUGAAUCGUUCUGUUCCAGUGCAGGGUCGAGGUGGGUGCAGCAUGUCUGGUUCACUCAGACAGGCGUGGAGUGUGAGAGUCAAGAUGACCACGAAUGACAGCAAGGACCACAACCAGGUGUCAAAACAUGAAGGUGCACACUCAAUUUUCAGCCCCUCAGACCUCAAGCAUGAUGUGUAUUUCUCCACUGAGUCAAAGUAAUACUAAGCACACCUACCUAUAUAAACCUGAACCUGAGUCAAAGCACUGACAAACAUCUGACUGGACACAAGUACUUUUUGCAUUAUGAUCCUUAAAAUGUUGUCAUUCGUGAUCAUCUUGACUGUGGUGCUCCACACUAGUCUGAGUGAGCUGGACAUGUGGUACCCAUCUAAGCCCUGCACUAAAGCAAAGAACCUGGAUGGGUAUGACACUUUCCUGAACCACCACCUUCGUAAGGACGCACCAAAUGAUCCACGCAAACUAAGAGAAUGGCAGAAGUUCAUCACCAAAAUCAACACCUGGAACAGGCCGAUUCAGUCAUUCCUUCCCUUCAGAGAAGCAAGAAGGGUGAUAGCUGUGUGUUCAUCAGCAGGAAAAAUGUAUGAAGGGAACCUCUGCAUCAGCAAGAAGCCUUUCACAUUCUUCACUGUUGAGAUCGCAGCUAAGAAGCAAGUCAAGAGAGUCAAGGUUCAGGAACAACAUGUUAUUCUUGGCUGUGAUAAAAUUAAAACUAAAUGUCUACCUAUUCAUUUUGAGGCAAAUGUAAAUGAUGAUAUACCAGAUGAUAUCGAACCUGACUGCAGCAAAGCAAUGGCAAAUUCAAGCUUUAUUACAUUCGAGGAGCUGUUUCAUGUCUAGACACAUGACCUGCAGAAUUCAGGUCACUUUUGUUCUUUUAUUUCUAUGUAACCAAUGAUGAAACUACAGUAAUUAGAGGAUGUCUGCUGACAUAAUGCAUUCUGUAUGUACACACACAAACAAACACGAAUAUUGCUUUCUAUGCUUUUGCUUCAUUAUUUCUUUCAUUUAAAUAAAAAUUUUAAUGCAUAAUAAA
ensembl:lncRNA